rnacentral:lncRNA from 1 species
UACUGGGCUCAGUCCCAGCACUAUCCAAGUGUGAAGCCAACACCUUUUCACAUCAACUCCAAGUUCCAUGGGCUGACUGGACUCCACUGGGAGUUCUUGAUGUCUCUCGUGUGGUUGUGUGAGAUAGUAGCUGGGACUGGACUCAUCUGAAGGCUUGACUGGGCCGGAUGCCCAAGAUGGCCCACUUUUAGGCAGAGGUGGCUGGCAGUUGAUGCUGACUGUCAGCUGGGAACUCAGCUGAGAGUGUUAACUGGAGUCCCUAGAUGUGGCUUCUCCACAUGGCUUGGGUUUCUCAUGGUAGGGCACCUGGUUUCUGAGAGAGAGCAUCCCAAGAGACACAAGUGGAAAUGAUAAGGCUUCUUAUGACGUAGACUGGAGGUACUGAGACAUCACUUUUGCUACAUUAGAAGUUUUGAUGCUGACAUUUUAUGAUUUCACAACUUGGAUCCUCUGUCCUCUGAUACUGAAUCAGAUAGUAGUUUAUGGAGCUGAGCAGAGAGCCAGCUGGUCCUGGGCACAGAGGAGGCUGCGUUCCAUGCUGAAGACAAGAACAUAUGGUGGACGUACCAUCCUAACUAUCUGGGAAGGGAGCUUCGUGGCUACAUGGGAGUUAUCAUCUACCAGUGCUGGCUACAUCCUGGCUGUGCCCACCUCUGAGCUCUGAAUCUCUGCCCCUCAGUACCCCCAACCCCAACACGAUUGUGAUGUUAGGCAUGUGUUAGGCAUGUGAAGAUGAGAAAGAGAAGAUACAGCUCCCAUGUUUAUCUUCAUGAGAAGAUAAGCCAUAGGGAGAGAGAAAGACUGCUGUGCAUGAGAGGGAGUGUCAAAUGCCAAAUGGGUGUCACAGUCAGGGUGUGCU